rnacentral:rRNA from 1 species
CUACUCUAUUAACUCUGAGCAAUCUCCCUCCAGAGAACAAACCUGUUUUAACUGAGUUAAUAAUUUAGGUUGGGGUGACCUCGGAAUAAAACCUAACCUCCGAGAAAAACUUAUAAAGACCCACAAGUCAAAAUUAUAUAAUUACACACUGAUCCGAAAGACGAUCAACGAAACAAGUUACCCUAGGGAUAACAGCGCAAUCCUAUUUAAGAGUCCAUAUCGAAAAUUAGGGUUUACGACCUCGAUGUUGGAUCAGGACAUCCCAAUGGUGCAGCAGCUAUUAAUGUGUUCGUUUGUUCAACGAUUAAAGUCCUACGUGAUCUGAGUUCAGACCGAU